GGGAUACAAGAAGCAAUAAUGGAAGAUGAGUCAUUUGGUUCAAAAGGAAUAAAUCUACGAAGUGGAAGAAAAUGAGCAUGCCACUAAUCUUUUGUUCAUGCUAUGACUGGACACUUGAAUUUUUGUCGCUUGUCUGUCUAACGGGAUGUUCACAUCCCUUAUCAGUUAUUUUCCUAGGUUGCUGCCAAGAUCUUUAAUUUGCUAUUAAAUCUGGUCUCGCUUGCCCCACGUACUGCUAUCAACAUCAGAUGACAUCACAAGGUAUUCUAAUCUUCACCUGCUUACUGCUUAGCUCUUACUGCACACUAUAUAUUCUGGAUAAAUAUGAUUGAUACUUAUGGAAAAUUAUCCUUACAGUGUGCUUUAAACUGCAUCCUUGUCAUGAAAAAUUAACUACUACACUUGAUAUAUAUAGUCAUCGAUAAUCUAUUUGUGGUUCGGUGUUAGAUCAUUUUAGUAUGUAUAUAGGCAUUCAUAGUGCAAUCUGAUUCUCUUAUGUGCCACAUGUUCAUAUUUACGAUACUCCCUAAUGAGAGUUGCCGCUAAUUUUUCCUUCGACAGUACGUGUUAUCAUUUAGAUUAACAGAUUACCAAGUUGUCGGAUCUACUAUGUCCUAGGAAUUGCCCAUAUGAAAUUAUCAGAGGUUUUAUGCAAAAUAGGGUUCACUACCAAAUAGAUUAAUUCAAUCAACAGUACCAUGAAAAUAUUUACAAAUACAAAUUAGUACUGCUGUGUAGGAUGGUGAAGCCAUGGAACCUGAUUGAAGAUGGGAAGACUGAUUGAAGGUGGGAAGACGAUGCACGGAAAGCUUGAAGGAGAUGUGGAGCCUUAUUGAAGAUGACCAACUUCAGAUCCAAGGUCAACGUCUCCCAUCCAGUGCCUGUCACGGGGAUCACAGCCAGCCCUUUGCGAUCUGGGUGUAUAACAUGCGGGAAACAAAGUCUGUCUUUUAUAGGCAGUGAAAAGGGCGCGAGGUGAGACGCAAAAAGCAGAAUUGGCGCCAUCUGAGGUUGUUGAGGAAUAGGCGGGGGCGGAGAAAGGCAGUUGCAUCUGUAUAUGCUAAUCGCGUUUGUGGAAAAACGAGUAAUACUAGUUUUCCCACAAUCCCGGAAUUAUGGGUUUUUGGGAAACGAGUUUCCCCUAUCCACGGGGUUGUUGGAUGAGCCAAACAAGAUUUUUUACUGUUAGACAGUUUCCUUGGCUUACGUAGAUUGCGUUCUCUAUAUUCCUCUUAUCCAAACAACGCCUUAGAAUCAUCCGGAUCAGUGUCAAAACUUGCAUCGACGUAACCAUUUACGACGAGUUCUUUGUCACCUCCAUAAACGAGAAACAUAUCCUUAGUCCUUUUCAGGUAUUUUAGGAUGUUCUUGACCGUUGUCCAGUGAUCCACUCCUGGAUUAUUUUGGUACCUCCCUGCUAAACUAAUAGCAAGGCACACAUCAGGUCUGGUACACAACAUUGUGUUGGGGAACGUAGUAAUUUCAAAAAAAUUCCUACGAACACGCAAGAUCAUGGUGAUGCAUAGCAACGAGAGGGGAGAGUGUAGUCCACGUACCCUCGUAGACCGAAAGCGGAAGCGUUAACACAACGCGGUUGAUGUAGUCGUACGUCUUCACGAUCCGACCGAUCAAGUACCGAACGCACGGCACCUCCGAGUUCAGCACACGUUCAGCUCGAUGACGUCCCUCGAACUCCGAUCCAGCCGAGUGUUGAGGGAGAGUUUCGUCAGCACGACGGCGUGGUGACAAUGAUGAUGUUCUACCGACGCAGGGCUUCGCCUAAGCACCGCUACGAUAUUAUCGAGGUGUAAUAUGGUGGAGGGGGGCACCGCACACGGCUAAGAGAUCAAUGAUCAAUUGUUGUGUCUAUGGGGUGCCCCCUGCCCCCGUAUAUAAAGGAGCAAGGGGGGAGGCCGCCGGCCUAGGAGGAGGGGCGCGCCAAGGGGGGAGUCCUACUCCCACCGGGAGUAGGACUCCUCCUUUCCUUGUUGGAGUAGGAAAAGGGAAGGGAGAAGGAGAAAGAAGGAAGGGGGCGCCCUCCCUCCCUAGUCCAAUUCGGACUAGUCCAUGGGGAGGGGUGCGGCCACCCUUUGGGGCCUUUCUCUCCUUUCCCGUAUGGCCCAUUAAGGCCCAAUACGAAUUCCCGUAACUCUCUGGUACUCCGAAAAAUACCCGAAUCACUCGGAACCUUUCCGAUGUCCGAAUAUAGUCGUCCAAUAUAUCGAUCUUUACGUCUCGACCAUUUCGAGACUCCUCGUCAAGUCCCUGAUCUCAUCCGGGACUCCAAACUCCUUCGGUACAUCAAAACAUAUAAACUCAUAAUAUAACUGUCAUCGUAACGUUAAGCGUGCGGACCCUUCGGGUUCGAGAACUAUGUAGACAUGACCGAGACACCUCUCCGGUCAAUAACCAAUAGCGGAACCUGGAUGCUCAUAUUGGCUCCCACAUAUUCUACGAAGAUCUUUAUCGGUCAAACCGCAUAACAACAUACGUUGUUCCCUUUGUCAUCGGUAUGUUACUUGCCCGAGAUUCGAUCGUCGGUAUCUCAAUACCUAGUUCAAUCUCGUUACCGGCAAGUCUCUUUACUCGUUCUGUAAUACAUCAUCCCACAACUAACUCAUUAGUUAUAAUGCUUGCAAGGCUUAUAGUGAUGUGCAUUACUGACUGGGCCCAGAGAUACCUCUCCGACAAUCGGAGUGACAAAUCCUAAUCUCGAAAUACGCCAACCCAACAAGUACCUUUUGGAGACACCUGUAGAGCACCUUUAUAAUCACCCAGUUAUGUUGUGACGUUUGGUAGCACACAAAGUGUUCCUCCGGUAAACGGGAGUUGCAUAAUCUCAUAGUCAUAGGAACAUGUAUAAGUCAUGAAGAAAGCAAUAGCAACAUACUAAACGAUCGAGUGCUAAGCUAAUGGAAUGGGUCAAGUCAAUCACAUCAUUCUCCUAAUGAUGUGAUCCCGUUAAUCAAAUGACAACUCAUGUCUAUGACUAGGAAACAUAACCAUCUUUGAUCAACGAGCUAGUCAAGUAGAGGCAUACUAGUGACACUCUGUUUGUCUAUGUAUUCACACAAGUAUUAUGUUUCCGGUUAAUACAAUUCUAGCAUGAAUAAUAAACAUUUAUCAUGAUAUAAGGAAAUAAAUAAUAACUUUAUUAUUGCCUCUAGGGCAUAUUUCCUUCAGUCUCCCACUUGCACUAGAGUCAAUAAUCUAGUUCACAUCGCCAUGUGAUUUAACAUCAAUAAUUCACAUCACCAUGUGAUUAACACCCAUAGUUCACAUGGUCAUGUGACCAACACCCAAAGGGUUUACUAGAGUCAAUAAUCUAGUUCACAUCGCUAUGUGAUUAACACCCAAAGAGUACUAAGGUGUGAUCAUGUUUUGAUUGUGAGAUAAUUUUAGUCAACGGGUCUGUCACAUUCAGAUCCGUAAGUAUUUUGCAAAUUUCUAUGUCUACAAUGCUCUGCACGGAGCUACUCUAGCUAAUUGCUCCCUCUUUCAAUAUGUAUCUAGACCGAGACUUAGAGUCAUCUAGAUUAGUGUCAAAACUUGCAUCGACAUAACCCUUUACGACGAACCUUUUGUCACUUCCAUAUUCAAGAAACAUAUCCUUAUUCCAGUAAGGAUAAUUUUGACCGCUGUCCAGUGAUCUACUCCUAGAUCACUAUUGUACUCCCUUGCCAAAAUCAGUGUAGGGUAUACAAUAGAUGUGGUGCACAGCAUGGCAUACUUUAUAGAACCUAUGGCCGAGGCAUAGGGAAUGACUUUCAUUCUCUUUCUAUCUUCUGCCGUGGUCGGGCUUUGAGUCUUACUCAAUUUCACACCUUGUAAUACAGGUAAGAACUCUUUCUUUGACUGUUCCAUUUUGAACUACUUCAAAAUCUUGUCAAGGUAUGUACUCAUUGAAAAAACGUAUCAAGCGUUUUGAUCUAUCUCUAUAGAUCUUGAUGCUCAAUAUGUAAGCAGCUUCACCGAGGUCUUUCUUUGAAAAACUCCUUUCAAACACUCCUUUAUGCUUUGCAGAAUAAUUCUACAUUAUUUCCGAUCAACAAUAUGUCAUUCACAUAUACUUAUCAGAAAUGUUGUAGUGCUCCCACUCACUUUCUUGUAAAUACAGGCUUCACCGCAAGUCUGUAUAAAACUAUAUCCUUUGAUCAACUUAUCAAAGCGUAUAUUCCAACUCCGAGAUACUUGCACCAGUCCAUAGAUGAAUCGCUGGAGCUUGUAUAUUUUGUUAGCACCUUUAGGAUUGACAAAACCUUCUGAUUGCAUCAUAUACAACUCUUCUUUAAUAAAUCCAUUAAGGAAUGCAGUUUUGUUUAUCCAUUUGCCAGAUUUCAUAAAAUGCGGCAAUUGCUAACAUGAUUCGGACAGACUUAAGCAUAGAUACGAGUGAGAAACUCUCAUCGUAGUCAACACUUUAAACUUGUCGAAAACCUUUUGCGACAAUUCUAGCUUUGUAGAUAGUAACACUACUAUCAGCGUCCGUCUUCCUCUUGAAGAUCCAUUUAAUCUCAAUGGCUCGCCGAUCAUUGGGCAAGUCAAUCAAAGUCCAUACUUUGUUCUCAUACAUGGAUCUCAUCUCAGAUUUCAUGGCCUCAAGCCAUUUUGCGGAAUCUGAGCUCACCAUCGCUUCUUCAUAGUUCGUAGGUUCGUCAUGGUCUAGUAACAUAACCUCCAGAACAGGAUUACCGUACCACUCUGGUGCGGAUCUUACUCUGCUUGACCUACGAGGUUCAGUAAUAACUUGAUCUGAAGUUCCAUGAUCAUCAUCAUUAACUUCCUCACUAAUUGGUAUAGGCAUCACAGAAACUGGUUUCUGCAAUGAACUACUUUCCAAUAAGGGAGCAGGUACAAUUACCUCAUCAAGUUCUACUUUCCUCCCACUCACUUCUUUCGAGAGAAACUCCUCCUCUAGAAAGGAUCCAUACUUAGCAACGAAUGUCUUGCCUUCGGAUCUGUGAUAGAAGGUGUACCCAACUGUCUCCUUUGGGUAUCCUAUGAAGACACAUUUCUCCGAUUUGGGUUUGAGCUUAUCAGGAUGAAACUUUUUCACAUAAGCAUCGCAACCCCAAACUUUAAGAAACGACAACUUUGGUUUCUUGCCAAACCACAGUUCAUAAGAUGUCGUCUCAACGGAUUUAGGUGGUACCCUAUUUAACGUGAAUGUAGCUAUCUCUAAUGCAUAACCCCAAAACGAUAGUGGUAAAUCAGUAAGAGACAUCAUAGAUCGCACCAUAUCUAGUAAAGUACGAUUACGACGUUCGGACACACCAUUACGCUGUGGUGUUCCGGGUGGCAUGAGUUGCGAAACUAUUCCGCAUUGUUUCAAAUGAAGACCAAACUCAUAACUCAAAUAUUCUCCCCCACGAUCAGAUCGUAGAAAUUUUAUUAUCUUGUUACGAUGAUUUUCAACUUCACUCUGAAAUUCUUUGAACUUUUCAAAUGUUUCAGACUUAUGUUUCAUUAAGUAGAUAUACCCAUAUCUGCUCAAAUCAUCUGUGAAGGUGAGAAAAUAACGAUAUCCGCCACGAGCCUCAAUAUUCAUCAGACCACAUACAUCUGUAUGUAUGAUUUCCAACAAAUCUGUUGCUCUCUCCAUAGUUCCGGAGAACGGCGUUUUAGUCAUCUUGCCCAUGAGGCAUGGUUCGCAAGCAUCAAGUGAUUCAUAAUCAAGUGAUUCCGAAAUCCCAUCAGUAUGGAGUUUCUUCAUGCGCUUUACACCAAUAUGACCUAAACGGCAGUGCCACAAAUAAGUUGCACUAUUAUUAACUUUGCAUCUUUUGGCUUCAUUAUUAUGAAUAUGUGUAUCACUACGAUCGAGAUCCAACAAACCAUUUUAUUGGGUGUAUGACCAUAGAAGGUUUUAUUCAUGUAAACAGAACAACAAUUAUUCUCUAAUUUAAAUGAAUAACCGUAUUGCAACAAACAUGAUCAAAUCAUAUUCAUGCUCAACGCAAACACCAAAUAACACUUAUUUAGUUUUAACACUAAUCCCGAAAGUAUAGGGAGUGUGCGAUGAUGAUCGUAUCAAUCUUGGAACUACUUCCAACACACAUCGUCACCUCGCCUUUUACUAGUCUCUGUUUAUUCUGCAACUCCCGUUUCGAGUUACUACUCUUAGCAACUGAACCAGUAUCAAAUACCGAGGGGUUUCUAUAAACACUAGUAAAGUACACAUCAAUAACAUGUAUAUCCAAUAUACCUUUGUUCACUUUGCCAUCCUUCUUAUCCACCAAAUAGUUGGGGUAGUUCCGCUUCCAGUGACCAGUCCCUUUGCAGUAGAAGCACUUAGUCUCAGGCUUAGGAUCAGACUUAGGCUUCUUCACUUGAGCAGCAACUUGCUUGCUGUUCUUCUUGAAGUUCCCCUUCUUCCCUUUGCCCUUUUCUUGAAACUAGUGGUCUCGUCAACCAUCAACACUUGAUGUUUUUCUUGAUUUCUACCUUCGUCGAUUUCAGCAUCACGAAGAGCUCGGGAAUUACUUUCGUCAUCCCUUGCAUACUAUAGUUCAUCACGAAGUUCUACUAACUUGGUGAUGGUGACUAGAGAAUUCUGUCAAUCACUAUUUUAUCUGGAAGAUUAACUCCCACUUGAUUCAAGCGAUUGUAGCACCCAGACAAUCUGAGCACAUGCUCACUGCUUGAGCUAUUCUCCUCCAUCUUUUAGCUAUAGAACUUGUUGGAGACUUCAUAUCUCUCAACUCGGGUAUUUUCUUGAAAUAUUAACUUCAACUCCUGGAACAUCUCAUAUGGUCCAUGACGUUCAAAACGUCUUUGAAGUCCCAAUUCUAAGCCGUUAAGGAUGGUGCACUAAACUAUCAAGUAGUCAUCAUACUGAGCUAGCCAAACGUUCAUAACGUCUGCAUCUGCUCCUGUAAUAGGUCUGUCACCUAGCGGUGCAUCAAGGACAUACUUAUUCUGUGCAGCAAUGAGGAUAAUCCUCAGAUCACGGAUCCAAUCCGCAUCAUUGCUACUAACAUCUUUCAACAUAAUUUUUCUCUAGGAACAUAUCAAAAUAAACAUAGGGAAGCAACAACGCUAGCUAUUGAUCUAGAACAUAAUUUGCAAAAAUACUAUCAGGACUAUGUUCAUGAUAAAUUCAAGUUCAAUUAAUCAUAUUACUUAAGAACUCCCACUUAGAUAGACAUCCCUUUAAUCCUCUAAGUGAUCAAGUGAUCCAUAUCAACUAAACCAUGUCCGAUCAUCACAUGAGAUGGAGUAGUUUCAAUGGUGAACAUCACUAUGUUGAUCAUAUCUACUAUAUGAUUCACGCUUGACCUUUCGGUCUCCGUGUUCCGAGGCCAUAUCUGCAUAUUCUAGGCUCGUCAAGUUUAACCUGAGUAUUCCGCGUGUGCAACUGUUUUGCACCCGUUGUAUUUGAACGUAGAGCCUAUCACACCCGAUCAUCACGUGGUGUCUCAGCACGAAGAACUUUUGCAACGGUGCAUACUCAGGGAGAACACUUAUACUUUGAUAAUUUAGUGAGGGAUCAUCUUAUAAUGCUACCGUCAAUCAAAGCAAGAUAAGAUGCAUAAAAGAUAAACAUCACAUGCAAUCAAUAUAAGUGAUAUGAUAUGGCCAUCAUCAUCUUGUGCUUGUGAUCUCCGUCUCCGAAGCACCAUCAUGAUCACCAUCGUCACCGGCGCGACACUUUGAUCUUCAUCGUAGCAUCGUUGUCGUCUCGCCAAUCUUAUGCUUCUACGACUAUCGCUAUCGCUUAGUGAUAAAGUAAAGCAUUACAGGGCGAUUGCAUUGCAUACAAUAAAGCGACAACCAUAUGGCUCCCGCCAGUUGCCGAUAACUUGGUUACAAAACAUGAUCAUCUCAUACAAUAAAUUUAGCAUCAUGCUUUGACCAUAUCACAUCACAACAUGCCCUGCAAAAACAAGUUAGACGUCCUCUACUUUGUUGUUGCAAGUUUUACGUGGCUGCUACGGGCUUAGCAAGAACCGUUCUUACCUACGCAUCAAAACCACAAUGAUAGUUUGUCAAGUUGGUGCUGUUUUAACCUUCGCAAGGACCGGGCGUAGUCACACUCGGUUCAACUAAAGUGAGAGAGACAGACACCCGCCAGUCACCUUUAAGCAUCGAGUGCUUGCAACGGUGAAACCAGUCUCGCGUAAGCGUACGCAUAAUGUCGGUCCGGGCCGCUUCAUCUCACAAUACCGCUGAACCAAAAUAUGACAUGCUGGUAAGCAGUAUGACUUAUAUCGCCCACAACUCACUUGUGUUCUACUCGUGCAUAUAACACCUACGCAUAAAACCAGGCUCGGAUGCCACUGUUGGGGAACGUAGUAAUUUCAAAAAAUUUCCUACGCACACGCAAGAUCAUGGUGAUGCAUAGCAACGAGAGGGGACAGUGUAGUCCAUGUACCCUCGUAGACCGAAAGCGGAAGCGUUAACACAACGCGGUUGAUGUAGUCGUACGUCUUCACGAUCCGACCGAUCAAGUACCGAACGCACGGCACCUCCGAGUUCAGCACAUGUUCAGCUCGAUGACGUCCCUCGAACUCCGAUCCAGCCGAGUGUUGAGGGAGAGUUUCGUCAGCACGACGGCGUGGUGACAAUGAUGAUGUUCUACCGACGCAGGAUCUAGUAUGUCCUAGGAAUUGCCCAUAUGAAAUUAUCAGAGGUUUUAUGCAAAAUAGGGUUCACUACCAAAUAGAUUAAUUCAAUCAACAGUACCAUGAAAAUAUUUACAAAUACAAAUUAGUACUGCUGUGUAGGAUGGUGAAGCCAUGGAACCUGAUUGAAGAUGGGAAGACUGAUUGAAGGUGGGAAGGCGAUGCACGGAAAGCCUGAAGGAGAUGUGGAGCCUUAUUGAAGAUGACCAACUUCAGAUCCAAGGUCAACGUCUCCCAUCCAAUGCUUGUCACGGGGAUCACAGCCAGCCCUUUGCGAUCUGGGUGUAUAACAUGCGGGAAACAAAGUCUGUCUUUUAUAGGCAGUGAAAAGGGCGUGAGGUGAGACGCAAAAAGCAGAAUUGGCGCCAUCUGAG
rnacentral:lncRNA from 1 species